AUACGGAGGGGGCUAGCGUUGUUCGGAAUUACUGGGCGUAAAGCGCGCGUAGGCGGACCAGUCAGUCAGGGGUGAAAUCCCGGGGCUCAACCCCGGAACUGCCUUUGAUACUGCUGGUCUUGAGUUCGAGAGAGGUGAGUGGAAUUCCGAGUGUAGGGGUGAAAUUCGUAGAUAUUCGGAGGAACACCAGUGGCGAAGGCGGCUCACUGGCUCGAUACUGACGCUGAGGUGCGAAAGCGUGGGGAGCAAACAGGAUUAGAAACCCUAGUAGUCC
rnacentral:rRNA from 1 species